rnacentral:rRNA from 1 species
UAGGGAAUAUUGCAAAAUGGGCGAAAGCCCGAUGCAGCAACGCCGCGUGGGCGAUGAAGGCCUUCGGGUCGUAAAGCCCUUUUUGAGGGGAUGAGGAAGGACAGUACCCUCAGAAUAAGCCUCGGCUAACUACGUGCCAGCAGCCGCGGUAAAACGUAGGAGGCGAGCGUUAUCCGGAUUUACUGGGCGUAAAGCGCGUGCAGGCGGAUUGGAGAGUUGGAUGUGAAAGCUCCCGGCUUAACUGGGAGAGGUCGUUCAAUACUUCCAGUCUUGAGUGCAGUAGAGGGAAGUGGAAUUCCGGGUGUAGUGGUGAAAUGCGUAGAUAUCCGGAGGAACACCAGUGGCGAAAGCGGCUUCCUGGACUGUAACUGACGCUCAGACGCGAAAGCUAGGGCAGCAAACG